rnacentral:rRNA from 1 species
CGCAAUGGGGCAACCCUGAUGGAGCAACGCCGCGUGCAGGAUGAAGGCCUUCGGGUCGUAAACUGCUUUUGUCUGUGAAGAAUAUGACGGUAACAGAAGAAUAAGGGUCUGCUAACUACGUGCCAGCAGCCGCGGUCAUACGUAGGACCCAAGCGUUAUCCGGAAUUACUGGGCGUAAAGAGUUGCGUAGGUGGCUGAGUAAGUAGAUAGUGAAAUCGUGUGGCUCAACCAUACAAACAUUAUCUAAACUGCUCUAGCUUAGAGUGUAGGAGAGGUACCUGGAAUUUCUAGUGUAGGAGUGAAAUCCGUAGAUAUUAGAAGGAACACCGAUGGCGUAAGCAGGGUACUGGCCUAUUACUGACACUAAGGCACGAAAGCGU